GUUUUUCAGGAAUUUCUUUCAGGUUCAAAUGUCCUUGGCUGGAAGGAGACCCACACAGACACAUUUGGGAGAAAUCUGAUAAUGGCUGAAGAGUUUGGGACAAACCUGAGGCACACGUGGGGCUUAAUGUUCAGGUUGUGAGUGUUCGUUCAGGUACGAUUGGGAAACUUUGCAUUAGUGGAAAACUUUACCCUGGGAAGUACUGACCAUCCCUGAACAAUGUGAGAAAGUUUAUGAGGAGAAGAUCUUCCUGGGAUCCCUUUUUAAAGACCCAAAGAAUGUGUCAGCGAGAGGUGGCAGUGAGGGCCUCCUCCCCACUGUGUGUGGCCAGUUCUCCCAAAGAAGAAACCUCCUCUUACCCCGCACCCCUCUCACUCCACCCAGUUGCUCCUGCAGCUCUUUUAAGCACGGUUACUUGCUCAGCCUGGCAGCAGUUGCCAUUCGCUGCUAUUUUCCUCUGUUUCCCUUCCUGCUUUUGUCCUGCUUGUUAACUGCGCUUCAACCAGGUGUCUCCCCACCAGCACCCUUUGUUUCCUGACUGGACUUUGAAAGGAGGCCACCCUCUUGCCCUUCUUCGGUGGAACAAAACAGACAAAAUAUGCAGAUUCUUAACUCAAUUUAAAAGCUAAAGCCAAGCCAGGAAAAGGAAAAGAUGAGAAACCCCAAAUCAAGCACACCACGUUGAAUAGCAUGUGGAAAAUUGGCAUUUCCAGUGAAUAAAAAUUAACUGGCAAACAACAAAAGGAAAAACGGAGGAAUGCUGUUGGAUGCUGUUUGGCUCGUCUUGUCUUGUCAGAGAAGGAACACGUGUGAAUCAAAUGGUUGAAGAUGAAUUUUACCUACACGUCUGGCUCCUGUUCAGAUGUUUUAGAUUUCUUAGUCAACUUUAUUUGCUUGUGUUUCUUUAAAAAAUGGUGUUUGCUCAUGUUAAAACAGGGAACUAAGCUGUAUGUAGAAAAUAAUGAUUUACCUUCUGAAACUGCAAUACGCACAAAUGGAGCAAGAAGAAUACAGGUACAGUGCCUGGCUACCCUAGUUCCUCAGGUACAUUUUCCACUUUCCAUGUUCCUAUACGACAGUGUCACAGAUUUCUGCCACUGUGUCAUAAAGAUCACUUUCCUCCUGUAUCCAGCAACAUUCUCUCACAUUCCUGUGAGCCCUCCCAACAGCCUCAGAGGUGGCUAA
rnacentral:lncRNA from 1 species